UUCCGUCGUUGGUGCGACGCCAUUUUGUGCGCAGCGGGGCCACAUUGCCCUCGCCUAUAAAAGGCUGCGGUGACGUCAGCGCCCGACAUUUAAAAUCUCAUCGUGGUGCGCAGUGGUCGUGAAAGUGUUGUGACAAGAUCUUCAAGUGAAUUUGCCUGGGUUGGAUUCAGUCCCAUUGCGUUUCGCGUGGGUCUGCAUCCAUCCGAUGGCCGCCAUCUUGGCUGUCGCUGGGGCGCGGUCGCUGCUUACACAACAAUGGGUUUGUAACGGUAUCGUGCAUUUAUUUUAGUUUAGUUAAUUUUGUGAUCCAAAUGUAAAAGUUAAAUAUUUCAAUUUCAAUCUAUUUCUCGAUAGUAAAAUUGGAAUUUGGUUAUUAUUCAUAUUGAAUAAGAUAAAUUGUAACAUAUGUUUAAGUAUGAAAAAUAAAAAGAUUAUUUUCAAUGGAAAGUUGUAUUUCUCCUGUUUUGUUACUGUGAUUUCACCCGAAAUGUGUUAUUCCAUGAGUCAUCAUCGUCACUUCGCUUCGUGGAGAAAGUGGCGAGUGCGAACGAGAUCGAGCUCCAGACUCGGCCGAGCAGCCUGCGGUCUGCCGCCGACCCGUCGCCGCCGCGGCGUUAAGGUUCCCUGCGUUCAGCCCACGGCUCCACUGUGCCAAACGGCGCACGCUCAAAUACGUCCCGGUUAUCAGCCCACUAGGUAAACGUUAGGCCUCCGAAUUCCUCAUACGACUGGUGUAAUAAUAUCUUGUAUUCCAUAACAAUGUCUGCCCGUGCCCGCAUGCGGGCCCCCUGCGUGUAACGUUGUGUUUAGACCCCAGAGCGUUGCGGUUACCGUGCAGCUGCCGACCCAGUCGUGGCGGGUUGUCGCAAUCGCAUUGUUCAUCGUGCGCACGGCCUCUACGCGUCACGGUCACGUGAUGGCGCUACCCGGAACACUGAACACUAGAAUUAUCUUCCCGUAAGGAAGUACCUAUGUUGACAAUGUCGGUGAGUCACUUGUUACUAGAAUGGUCUUAUUUUGAAAUAUAAAAACAGACAUUUUGGUAUUUUAUUAAUGAUCAUAAUAAUGAGCAUUUAGCGUGAGUGACAUUUCUCUAAAAUAUUACUAAAAAUAAAGUAACUUUCCUUGCGAUUUGGACAAGUCACUGCUAUUGCUAAGAAAUUUCUCCAAUGUUGACAUAUAAAAACAUGCCUAUGACUGAGUUUCUGACAUCUCACUUAGGUCAUGUCUAUGAAAUAACUUUUCUCCAAACAGGGUUAAAUAACAUAAUUUAGGAACAUGCUAGAACGAUCGAGAGGCCUCGAGGUGACUUGAGGGAGUUUUCGGAGACUGCUACCGCGACCAUGAAGUAUCCUAUCCGUGAUCUCGCAAAUCUUCGCGGCGCUUUCUAUAUUAGGUAACAAGAGGUCACGAUAUUUGUGUGGAUGCAUGCAUAAACAUCUUAACAGCAGCUAUAUCUACACUUCGAGUGAGCAGUCUCCAGUUUAGUACAUGAAAAUUACACCUGCACACUGCGAGUUGGAAAUAUUAAAUUGAGGAAACGUGGCGUGGGCUGAUCAUUUCCGGGACCAUUCUGAACCAAAAUCGCGACAUAGGCUCUGAUAAACGAUUGCAUACAAAUUAAGAAUAGGAAUAUGAAGCAAGGACUUGUUAGAAUGCGCUAUACACCGGGACCGUGGCUGGUGGUCAAGGUUGUGCGUGACCGAGUCAACCAACCAAACGUAAACAAAGCGAGGUGAAGCCCUUCUCCGCGAAGGCUAGCCCGGCCCCUAUAACAAGUGGACCGUCGGCCUCCACAGAUAAGUCAAUGCCGGUCCUAAUCUCUCUCUACCCCAAAUCACAGUUAGAUAAUAAACCUACCAAAGGCUGAAGUGCGUGAACAAGUAAGACCGAUAUGCUUCGGUAUCAUUCUAAAAUUGAUAAUGAAUGCAUGAUGUAAACUUCUCUAAUGCUAAGGUGAGUUUAGGCAAAGUUUUAUUUACUACCUAUACAAGAAGUUGUAUUUAAUACUUUCAACUGGUGAAAUAUUGGUUGACAUUCGCUUAUAUAACAGGAAUAAGAUAACCCACUUUUUUAAAACAUUCAUAAUAAUGAUGGGUACCUCUAUUAAGUAUAAUAAAUGAUAAAUAAUGGACGUUUGUAGGUAGGUACGUCACUUAACCAUACAUUUCAUUUUUUCAGAUCCUGUAUAGUUGCAUACUAUGUUAUAUAAUAUCUAUUUGAGGAACUAUAAAAUACACUACAGAUUUUUCAUAUUAUACAAAUUAUAAUAAUGGACACAUUAAAGUAAUAAUAACAUUAAUAACUUAGCGCCGAUCUAAUGUAGCUAUGAAACAGAAAACGAAUGUAUUGCAACAUAAUUAUUAGAUGCUGAAAAAUAUAUAAGAAAUGUCGUGUGACUGAAUCUAAUAACCAUAUAUAAUAAAAUAAAAACUUAAUACGGGAGCGAAAUAUGAAACGAGACUUCGGAACUGGGCAUUGGACUAGUAAUCCCUUCCCUUUACCAUUGUGUGUUUUUUUUUACAUCUGCAGGUAUGAGUCCGACCGGGUAGGGUUCUUAUCAAAUAACUGCACUAGACUGAGGAUGCAAAUAAAACUACUGCAAACUACAACUACUAAAAUAGUUGGAAAAUCGAGAUGACUGGAGGAGCCGUGGAAAUAAAAAUAUGAAAGACUUGUUUACUCUAUAUCCUUAUGGAUUACUAUUGACCUGAAAAGCGGUAAUAUGCUCUUGGCCACCACUAACCCCCUAAUUUUUUUGUUUCGAUGUCUUGUUUUGUUUUAGGCAGGCAACUAAUUUACCCACCCACUGACAACGACAAGUACGAGACAAAAUGACACUUGAAACCAAUGCUAAGAGGAAACUGUACCAAAGCAACCAAUACUUGCAAGCCGGUUUUAUUUUUGAAUGAAAUAGUUUGGUUUGAUUUCAAUCGUGGUGAAAUUGCAUAUCUACCUGUUUUGUUUUUAUUCUGUUGAAAGGUAUCGAAUGGCAGCUACGAGGUUGUAAUGGAUAAGAUCCAACGCCCACAUAGUAAACUGACAACCAUUGAGCCUUCCUGUAUGCUGAAAAAUAAGUCAGGGCUGAGACAUCUUUCAAAAUGCCAGCAAGAGGUCUAUAUGAGAUAAUGCAUUUUAUAAAACUGAAAAAUAAGGGUUACGUCCCAAUUCGCAAUAGAAGUGUUUUAGCUGAGGCUGUUUGAGUUCGAAAUGAAUAAUUAUUUGGAGGAGCAGGCGUUAAUGGAUUCCAUUAUUAUAUCCAGCCAUUUUAUGAUAUUUACUAUUCGACUGGAAAGUGAACUGAGGAAUGUCUAAAGAAUAUGAAUGUUAGUUGAGGUUUCGCCCCACCUCUGAAUGUGCCGGAGAAAGUAGCAUGGACAAACGGUAUGACCUAUAUUUUACUAUACCUAUCUAUUAUUGUAACGCUAAUAAGAGCUGCGAGCCUGAGGGCUGCAAUAGUAUGUAUGUAUGUGCAAGAUAAUAUUUUGCUAUGUCCUUUCCCCGAGUUUGUUUAGCUUAGAUGCUGAAGCAUCCACGCCACCUAGCUGCCACGGAAGUGGCAGUCUAUUUACACCGAAGAUGACGAAUAUAAUUCCUCAUUCCAAGCCGGAGAAAAUGCUCUUGACUAGCGGCUUUCUUGACUCAUCCCCCAUCACUAUGAUCAUCUAUCACUUGCACCACUGCAAAAAUGCGGACUGUAUGAAUGACGGCUACAAAUAUUUUAACUGCACGACGUUUUUUCAAUCUACGGGUGGUCGUCAGCCUGUACUGAACCAUUCAGGUAAAAUAAUCUUAUUGACCGUUACAAAUAAAACUAGCAUCAAGUUAGCUUUGUUGUAGUUGUAGUUAUUAUAUCUAAAAUAUAACAUUUCUGAAUAAAUAUCUAAGCCUGCAGGAACAGUAUACAUAACUAAAUUUUUUUAUAUCAGUCAUGCUAUUAAAUCUUAAUAAAAAACACUAUAUGUAUCUAUUGCGAUUAAGUAGGUAGGAAUGUAACCCUGGUGCGUAGCCAGGCCGUUAGGAAUUUACUUUUUAGAGCUCAACGGGUAUGCUUAGCUACUGCUGCAACUAUCCGCUGCUUGUACGAGAGACUGCUGCAAUGAGACUUCGCUGCGUGUACGAGUGCUGCAAUAAUGCUCCGCUGCUGACUGCUGCUACCUACAUCUACGACAAUCCCACUCCUGGCCACUGGCUUCGAACCAAGCCGCUCUAAACGUGGCGCUGUCAAUCUUAAGUAUAUUGAAGUGGUUCACUAGACUUGUCUAUCCAGGUUCCUUUUCCCUGUAACCCUAUGAUAAACAUGAGCGCUGCUGUCAUGCGACAGCUUAUUAUUUUUAACCACUGCCUUGUCACAGAAUGCCUAAAACUACUGCUGCCAUGUCACAGAGUCCAUCAUCAAGAUCGCUGCUGCCGGGCACGGCAUCUAAAUACUUUUGCUGCUUUGUCACAGAGACCGCUGCUGCUCUGCACAGGGUCUAUAGACUACUGCUGCCUUGUCACAGAGUCGCCUCGCUCAUCAAGACGGCUGCUGCCUUGCACAGUGUCUACGUUUGACUACUACUAUCGCUGCUGCCCCGCACAGUGCCAUUGACUGUUGCCUUUGACUGCUGCUGCCUUGUCACAGAGUCCAUUAUCAUGAUCGCUGCUGCCCUGCACAGGAUCUAUAGACUACUGCUGCAUUGUCACAGAGUCGCCUUUCAAGACCGCUGCUGCCUUGCACGGGGUCAUAAAGACUACUGCUGCCUUGUCACAGAGUCGCCCUUCAAGACCGCUGCUGCCCUGCACAGGGUCUAAAAUACUACUGCUGCCUUGUCACUGAGUCACCCUUCAAGACCGCUGCUGCCCUGCACAGGGUCAUAAAGACUACUGCUGCCACUUCACAGAGUCGCCCUUCAAGACCGCUGCUGCCCUGCACAGGGUCUAAAAGACUACUGCUGCCUUGUCACAGAGUCGCCCUUCAAGACCGCUGCUGCCUUGCAGGUCUAAAAGACUACUGCUGCCUCGUCACAGAGUCGCCUUUCAAGACCGCUGCUGCCCUGCACAGGGUCAUAAAGACUACUGCUGCCUCGUCACAGAGUCACCCUUCAAGAUCGCUGCUGCCUUGCACAGCGUCUGACUACUGCUGUUUACCGCAUCGUCUUUUACCGCUGCUGCCCACGGCACAGCCGGUUUUUUUUUUUUUACUUCUGCUGCUUUGUCACAGAACCGACAAUUGCUGCUGCUGCUUUGUCUACGUGUAUAUUGACCGCUGAGUGUCCACCGUCCACUGGCUUGACCGCUGUUACCAAUGUUACCAUGUCGCGGUGAGACAUAUGACAAGUCUUAUAAUUUAUUUGCUGGAAACAAAUAGUACCAUGCCAGAGCUUAUAUGAUAACGACAAUAGAGUUUAAACUAUAUUUGAAUGCUGCGGAUAAGCCACCCCAGCACGUCUAGGUGUUAACGCUGCUACGUGCAGCAUUGUCCGUAGAUACUGUAUCUCUUAUCACCAAUUCAACCGGGUAGCCUGGAAGAAUCCUCGAGCCAGCCGUGCAAAUUUUUCUCUACAAUGGAAUGGAACGCAAUGGACAACGCUUCGCAGAAAGUCAUCAGACCAGCAACCUUCGAGAUACACCUUUCCCGUAUUAGAAUGAUGCCAAACUCGAGCCAAGAUUGCUGAACUACUUCUUGGGCUCAAGUCAACCUGCUCCAGUGCCUACGUGGUGCUUCUCGGUCCAGUCUGCCCGCAGCGCGGUGCCAGCCCGGUCCAGUCUGUGCUCCUGUGGUGCCAGCCCGGCCCAGUCUGCCUCCAGCGAUACCAGUCUGCGCUCCAGCGGUGUCAGCUAGGUCCAGUCUGCGCGCCAGUGGUGCCAGCCCGGUCAGUCUGCGCGCCAGUGGUGCCAGCCCGGUCCAGUCUACGUGCCAGUGCUGCCAGCCCGAUCAAGUCUGCGCGCCAGUGGUGCCAGCCCGGUCCACUCUGCGCUCCAGGGGUCCUGCUCUGGCCAUGCUGCGCGCCAGCGGUGCCAGCCCGGUCCAGUCUACGUGCCAGUGCUGCCAGCCCGAUCCAGUCUGCGCGCCAGUGGUGCCAGCCCGGUCCACUCUGCGCUCCAGGGGUCCUGCUCUGGCCAUGCUGCGCGCCAGUGGUGCCAGCCCGGUCCAGUUUGCGCGCCGAUGGUGCCAGCUCAUUCCAGUCUGCACGCCAGUGGUGCCAGCCUGGUCCUGUCUGCGCGCCAGUGGUACCAGCCCGGUCCAGUGUGCGCGCCAGCUAAUCCAGCUGACAGCGGAAUGACACGAUUUCAAGCCUAAUCGUCUGCAACAACGUUGUGAAGUCUGCCUGCCUACGCCUGCUGAAGAGGUUCGAGUCUGAAUCAGCCGAAGACACCAGAGUGUUCCGGGCUGCCAGUCAGCGUGAUGCCAGUCCGGUCCAGUCUGCAGGCCAGUGGUGUCAACCAGCUCGUUCCAGUCUGCGCUCCUAUAGUGCCAGCCCGGUCCAGUCUGCACUCCUAUGGUGCCAGCCAGUUCCAGUCUGCGCGCCAGUGGUGCCAACCCGGUCCAGUGUGCGCGCCAGUGGUGCCAGCCCGUUCCAGUCUGCGCGCCAGUGGUGCCAGCCCGUUCCAGUCUGCGCGCCAGUGGUGCCAGCCCGUUCCAGUCUGCGCGCCAGCUCAUCUAGCCAUCCAUCUGCAGAGUGUCUAGACCUCAAGUUUAAUAGCCUACCAGGACGACGUGGAGCUUGCUGCAACGGACCGAACACGAUCCUGUCUUCCCUUCUGAAGUGGUACGACACCAUGCAGUCCAGCCUGCGCAACUACCGAAGAGCCUACAAAAACGGCGUGAAGUGCUUGCUGCAACGACGCGAACACGAUCCUGUCUUCCCUUCUGAAGUGGUACGAGACCAGUCCAGCUUGCGCAAAUACCGAAGAGGUUCAAGCCUGAAUUAACCGAAGACACCAGUCGAAGUUAUACGAGCAAAGUCCAGUGGGGUCAGCCCGGUCCAGUCUGCAUGUCAUUGGAGUCAGCCCGGUCCAGUCUGCGCGCCAGUGGUGCCAUCCCGGUCCAGUCUGCGCGCUAGUGGUGCCAGCCGGAGCGGCCUAGUCCAGUCUGCCCGCCAGCGCAGUGCUGCCUGGUCCAGUCUGUCCUGCGCGGUGAUGUCAGCUCGGUCCUAUGGUGCCUAAUAGAAUUGAAUAAAACAACGACUAUCUGCCUGUUUGAACGGUGCGAACGCGAUCCGGUCUACCCGCUGAAGAGGUUUGAACCCAAUCCAGUCAGUCUACCAGUCGAAGUAGCAGGAUCGUGAUCUAGUCUGCCGCCUGUAGUGCCAGUUUACCAGGGUUUCCCGUCUCCGCAUAGCAACUCUGCCUGCUUAGAACAAGAGCUCCAUUCUCCACGCGCUGCGGGCUUGAUUCAUUUACCCCCAGAACUCUACCAGAUGCAAUGCAGUCAUAAUUGAUCAACGAGAUCUGUUUCCUCUUGAUAAAAUUCGUGCACGGUAUAGCGACGGAUACGUUACGCUUUAAACCGCUACGUGCGUUUCUCUUUCGGCCGUCUAGUGCUACUGACUGACAGAACCCGCCAACGCGGGCGUGUUUAAUCUAGACAUUGUCAACAGAACCAAACAUGUCGUGCCCCUACGAAGUGCCCAGUCCGCCCACCAUGAAGCUAGACUGUCACUGCAGCCAGUGAGACCAGUUCGGAGGUUGGCAAGCCUGCCUAAGGGUGCGUGUUUGAUUUUGCCCCUGUUAAUAAAGCAUUAUGUCUACCGCCAUAGCGGUAUAUGUUUAACUGAACUUGUCAACAGAGACAGGCAGCGCUAGCAAGCCUGGGGGUUCCGGUUGUCAUCGAAGACAGACGUGUAGCAGUUAGCCAGAAACCUCUAAUGUCACACCUUCAGGGGCCGCCGAACUUGACAAGUCUCCCCGCCUGUGCAUCUGUAAUCCACUCUUUGUCAACAGUGUCUGACAUAGCCAGCCAAGACGUGCCAAGCUGUUGUCCGCCAGGAGGAAAGUCCAGUCAUAGACAUCGGGGUAAAAUACAAGUACCACCGGCGCCGGAUUCAGCAUUGGGCUCGUCGAGGCUAGGUAUGACCGCGAGACCAUAAUCUCACUAUUGUCAACAGAGUUAGGCGUGUUUCCGCGAUUGAGCUUGAAUCCAGCCACCCACUGAGUCUGCCUGGCCUGAUGUCAGUCUGUGAACAUCAGUAUUCGCCAAUCAAGAAAAAUGCAAGUUGGAGUCAUCCAUGUGUAAGCAUGUAAGCUACCAGAAGUAUGCAUGACUUUGACCCCAAGCCACCUUGAUUAGAUUACAGAACUUGACUAGUCCGCCCGCUAUUGCGGUGCGUGAAUUCGUAAUCCACUUAUUGUUAACAGAAUGAGACGAGUCUUCACGACUGCGCGGUGAGUUUGUCAAGUACACGCUAGCUAUAUUACGCUAGAAAGAUGCAAACUUAGGCCAAACUAGUCGCCCAGAAGUGAGCCUCACUUCAGCUGCGGGUUCCUUCUCUAGUCACGGAGUCAUCAUCAGUCAUCUGAGUGGAGUGCUCUGAAUGAUCCGAUAUCUGCCUAACCAAAUCCAACCGUCAUACUCAUAUCCAAAAAAAUAAAGACAGCGCGCAAGAAAGGAUCCAUCUUUGGUGGUCACAAGUCGUGGUGCGUGCAACCAUAAUCAACCUAUUGUUAACAGAACCAGAUGUGUCUUCGCAUCUCAGCGCGAUAGAGCCUGACACCAGACACCGACAGUCUUCAGAUAUCCUGACCGUCCCCGUCCAGAAACCAUCGGAGUGGUGGGUGCUCAUCAUAAUUAAGCUAUUGUUUACAGAGUGGCCACACGUAUCUGAGCUUGGAUCCUACCACCUUUAACCUGAACUUGACUUCGGGUGAUGCUAAUACCAGUCGAGAAUAGCCUGUUCAGAAUAGGUACCUAAAAAGUUGAUCAGGUCUGCUGGUUCUGCUUGCCAGAGGGAUGCGAGUCAACAUACAUACACCAAAGAGGAGUCAACUUAGUUGAGCCAGCCAAGUCUAUAAUUACGCGAGAACGGGUGCGUCAACCAUUGUCAUUGUGCGCUUGCCGUAGGCAACAAAACGAGACGUCUCUACGCGAGUACGCGACAGAGCCAGCCAGCCUGGUCCGAGUCAACGUUAACCAAGAAAGAUAAGAAGUACCUACAUUAAAGAGGUAUAAACGUGUUUCUGCCAUCAUCAUUCAAUAAAGAACCUCUCACCGUAACGGAUUUUCGCUGACUUCUGCCAUCUUUAUUGAAACUGCAGUAUCUACCCGCUGGAGCGGCGGGGCGUGCCUAAUUCAUCUAUUGUUAACAGAGCCUGUGCGGUGCAUGGGCCGCUACUAGAACGCGCGCAGAGAAUCCAGCUCGCCAUGAAGUUGCAAGUUUUGCCCAUCAUUGUCGAAAGCGUGUGUGCACAACAUCCAAAGCGGCGUGAGCAGAGAAGCCCAAUAUUAGUGCCUGCCCGGUCCGGCCACCAAAGCCCGUCCUCACUGCCUGCCAGAGUGGUGCUCUCCUGCUUCAUCAUCCGAAGAUCAAGAAAUAUUCAACCAAGGAGCAAAAGGAAAUAGCCGACAUUGGAACUGGAACCCAGAAGCCCAUAGGUACAAGAACACAACGGACCUCUGAGAAGAAAGAAAGAGAAGGCUGGCUUCAGUUAUACCGCAACUACCGCUAGAGCGUCAAAGCGUAAGCCUUUUUUGCUCCGCAGGUGGUGUCAUCAACUGUUACUGCACAACAAAAACUAUCAGCAUUUAGGUACUGAAGAGAAGCAACAACCAGAAAUGUAUCUUGUAUGACUGGACAGCAUGUCUCCUACAUCACACAACCCAUCCAGACAACUUACUUGUAUUUCUUAAUUAUGAUAGAUCUAAAUGUCUAAAAUAUACCCAAGCACAAGAAACCGUGUGUUUAAUGAUUUUGUUGCAGACAAUAAUAAUCAAUAUCACGUGAGCAUUUUUAUAUUACUUUUUUUAUCGCUUUUUCUAGACUUGUUACGCUUAAUAAUGUUUUUUCCAUAGUUAACUUCAAGAAUAUUAUUAUUGGUAUGUCACUAAUAUAAUUAUGUCAUUUUGAUAUUUGUAUACCUAUCUGUGCAUUGGUAUUUUAUGUGUUUUGAGUGUCGUGUCGAAAUGUGUGUUUAAAUCUGUUUUAGCCUAGCCAUCUCAAUAGCACUAAAUCCACAAACCUAAUGUAUAGCACAGAUUGGGUACUCAAGAGCGAACGUCUUGCUUUGAAUUGAUAGUUUCUUUUAGAUAUUGGAUUACCUACUAACGUAAGAAGCUUGCACGAGCAAAGACUGGAAUAUGGCCGCAUGGGACGCUUAAAUCACGAAACUUGUUUUUGGCUCUUCACCCAAAAUUAGAAAUGUACUACAUCUCUAAUAUCGGCAUGAAGUUGCACCUUCAUAUUGCAAGUCUAUUUAGGAAGGUAUAGCAGUUUUUUUUAACUUAUAUAACAAAUGUUAAUUAGUAACCUUUCUUUAAGUUUCUUUAUCUUUAUUAGACGGGUAGAAGUGCGGAAAAACUUUGUAUGUUCGCAGGUGAAAUGUGCAUAAUAGGUACUGGUACUUUUAAUAUUUUUACUCCUAAUCCAGUUAUUGUUUAAGUACGUGUCAUGUAACAUUGUCUACUUAGUUUUAAGUUGCUGUUCAAUGCUUGAUCCAAUAUGAUUGUAUCUAGAUGCUUUACCACUCGUGUUCGAUGUGUGUCUUGUAUGUUUUUUUAUAGACUUAGAUACAGCAACAUAGACUAACGGCUGCUUGGCACAGCAUGGUUAUGGAAAACGAACAUUGCAACAGCUUGCAAGUAUUGGCGAAACCUGAAACCCUGAAGAUAUUUUAGAUUCUAUAAAUUGUACAGAGCGUAACCUGGAAUGUGUGCAAAACUAACAUAUGGGCGAAGAUUAUUGAUUACUGCAGCCGAGAAAUCUUUUGUGAAUGUGCUGUUUGUGCAUUGCUUUUUGGUUGGAUAUGUAUUUGAAGUGUAUCUGUAUAUCGUUUCGGUUGUGUUAAAACUAUGUUAUAGACUUUGGUGAUUAACGGAGUGCACGACAAUAUUGGUAACACGAAACUCAAACUACGAUACUACGAUAAAAGCUUGAAUUGUCUGCUUGAUGUACUUUAAUAUAAAAAUACAGAGAAGACGAAACUAGGAACAUGGUACGUACGCUAAUACAACCUUUUCAGGCUGACAGGAAGAUGAGAGGAUCUACAUAUUACGACCUUACAUUAAAUUGUUAUGCGGCAUGGAAUAAAACUACCUUCGACGAUAACUUGAGUGGUGCACUUAGCCGUAUUAGAAAGAUAGAUACAAACGAACACGGUGGGGGUAAGAAAAUUCGAUUUUUUUAAUGAAACUGAAAUUGAACAUUUGCCUUUCGGAGUUGGAAAUGCUUUUUCCAGACAUUAAUCUGAUGAGUAACAAAUGCGAAGGUAUGAAUUUAAAUGCAGCAUAGGAAUAUGGUACGUAAGCUAAUUCAAGAUUUUUAGAUAAAAAUUCAAACGAGCUUUAAAAGUAUGACUGAAGAAGGAA